GUCCGAUCCAAUGUUUACCACAGAGACACAGGGGGUCAUUCCAGUACUUCUAAUAUCGAUUAGUGAUGUACCGAACGGUUCGCCAGCGAACGGUUCCCGGCGAACAUAGCAUGUUCGCGUUCGCCACGGCGGGCGAACAUAUGCACGGUUCGACCCGCCCCCUAUUCGUCAUCAUUGAGUAAACUUUGACCCUGUACCUCACAGUCAGCAGACACAUUCCAG